rnacentral:rRNA from 1 species
GAUGAACGCUGGCGGCAUGCCUAAUACAUGCAAGUCGAACGAGCUCUUCGGAGCUAGUGGCGGACGGGUGAGUAACACGUUGGUACCUACCCCGAAGUGGGGAAUAACUGCCCGAAAGGGUGGCUAAUACCGCAUAAUACCGUAAGGUUAAAGCAGUAAUGCGCUUCGGGAGGGGCCUGCGUCCCAUUAGCUAGUUGGCGGGGUAAAUGCCCACCAAGGCGACGAUGGGUAGCUGGAUCGAGAGGUUGACCAGCCACACUGGGACUGAGAUACGGCCCAGACUCCUACGGGAGGCAGCAGUAAGGAAUCUUCCACAAUGGACGAAAGUCUGAUGGAGCAAUGCCGCGUGCAGGAUGACGGCCUUCGGGUUGUAAACUGCUUUUAUAUGGGAAGAUUAUGACGGUACCAUAUGAAUAAGGACCGGCUAACUACGUGCCAGCAGCCGCCGCAG